rnacentral:lncRNA from 1 species
CCACUCUGCAGGACAAUAUCAGAUCACCAAGUCAACGCCCAUGCUUGGAUCGACCAUGGCAUCAUGCAGCCUGAGAUUAGAAUGCAGACUUAAAUUCGAGGGGCGAGAAUCCAGUGCUCCGGAGACCUUUUCGAAGAUCCUACGGUACCUCUCUAUCUUUGGAACUCCUUGUAACUGGUGGCUAACCGCAUCUGUGUUGGUCGCUUCGAUUUCAGGAUAUAUGAGAAUUGUGAUCCUGAUGUGGGUGCUUUCCUGAGGAGUGUGUAGGUAUUUUGAUAUGUUUUGUUUUGACCUUGUGAACAUGGUGUGCAGUUUUGUCAACGACUGAGUUUCUCUGAGGUCAGGGACCAAAAAGACAUUUUUCUCGGACAAAAGCACCCAAUCAUCGACGAAAAAGUCAGAUCAUCUCUGUCCACCCGACUUUGAUUUUGU